rnacentral:rRNA from 1 species
UAGGGAAUAUUGGACAAUGGGGGAAACCCUGAUCCAGCCAUGCCGCGUGAGUGAUGAAGGCCCUAGGGUUGUAAAGCUCUUUUGUGCGGGAAGAUAAUGACGGUACCGCAAGAAUAAGCCCCGGCUAACUUCGCGCCAGCAGCCGCGGUAAUACGAAGGGGGCUAGCGUUGCUCGGAAUCACUGGGCGUAAAGGGUGCGUAGGCGGGUUUCUAAGUCAGAGGUGAAAGCCUGGAGCUCAACUCCAGAACUGCCUUUGAUACUGGAAGUCUUGAGUUCGGGAGAGGUGAGUGGAACUGCGAGUGUAGAGGUGAAAUUCGUAGAUAUUCGCAAGAACACCAGUGGCGAAGGCGGCUCUCUGGCCCGAUACUGACGCUGAGGCACGAAAGCGUGGGGAGCAAACA